rnacentral:ncRNA from 1 species
AACGAGGAAUUCCUGGUAAGUGCAAGUCAUAAGCUUGCGCUGAUUACGUCCCUGCCCUUUGUACACACCGCCCGUCGCUACUACCGAUUGAAUGGUUUAGUGAGGUCGUUGGAUUGGUGUCGUUGUAGUGGCGUUGCCGCUCGACUGAUGCUGAGAAGAUGACCUAAUUUGACUAUUUAGAGGAAGUAAAAGUCGUAACAAGGUUUCCGUAGGUGAACCUGCGGAAGGAUCAUUAACAUAACCCAAAAAUAUAUAAUAAUGCAUGCACCUGGCUUCGUGCUGGGCUGUAUGUACCCUGGCUNGUGAAAUUCUGGGAUCGCCGCCAGACAAACUACAGCGAAAGCAUUUGCCAAGAAUGUUUUCAUUGAUCAGGAGCGAAAGUCAGAGUUUCGAAGACGAUCAGAUACCGUCGUAGUUCUGACCAUAAACGAUGCCAACUGACGAUCCGCGUUGGUUCUAUAAUUGACAUCGCGGGCAGUCCCCGGGAAACCUUUAAGUCUUUGGGCUCCGGGGGGAGUAUGGUUGCAAAGCUGAAACUUAAAGGAAUUGACGGAAGGGCACCACCAGGAGUGGAGCCUGCGGUUUAAUUCGACUCAACACGGGAAAACUCACCCGGCCCGGACACUGUGAGGAUUGACAGAUUGAUAGCUCUUUCUUGAUUCGGUGGAUGGUGGUGCAUGGCCGUUCUUAGUUGGUGGAGCGAUUUGUCUGGUUAAUUCCGAUAACGAACGAGACUUUAACCUGCUAAAUAGUAGACUGGUCCUCUGUGCUCGUUUAGGGCGCGGCUUCUAUUGCUUCUUUAUGGAGUAGUGUGGUCGUGAUCCGGCGGGUGCGGUGCCAGUUUUUACUUCUUAGAGGGACAAGCGGCACACUUAAGUCGCACGAAAUUGAGCAAUAACAGGUCUGUGAUGCCCUUAGAUGUCCGGGGCCACACGUGCGCUACAAUGACGGUGCCAGCGAGUCUGGAAACCUGGCCCGAAAGGGUUGGGCAAACUGUUUCAUCACCGUCGUGACUGGGAUCGGGGCUUGCAAUUAUUCCCCGUGAACGAGGAAUUCCUGGUAAGUGCAAGUCAUAAGCUUGCGCUGAUUACGUCCCUGCCCUUUGUACACACCGCCCGUCGCUACUACCGAUUGAAUGGUUUAGUGAGGUCGUUGGAUUGGUGUCGUUGUAGUGGCGUUGCCGCUCGACUGAUGCUGAGAAGAUGACCUAAUUUGACUAUUUAGAGGAAGUAAAAGUCGUAACAAGGUUUCCGUAGGUGAACCUGCGGAAGGAUCAUUA